GGGCGACUGAGAUUUUAUCAGAGUUGGGGUGUUUGGGUCAAUUUAAUUUUGGGAGUUAGUUUUAUAAAAUUGAAAUGGUGAAAUUUGUUAAUUUGGAGUGAAGCUGGUUUUUAGUUAAGGGUCUUGAUUCUUUAAAGUUCGGGGGAUAAAAUAGGAUUAGAUACCCUACUAUACCUGUUAUGAAAUAUUUAUGAUUCUUGAGUAGUAAACAGAUAUAUUCUCGAAACUCAAAGGAUUUGGCGGUAUCUAAGUCUAGUUAGAGGAACUUGUGCAGUAAAUGAUAAUCCGCGAAUAUCUGACCUUCUUUUGUAAUUGUCAGUUUGUAUACCGCCAUUAUUAGGUAGUCUUACUGGAGAGUUACCGGAAUUAGUGAAUACUAAGAAUAUUAGGUCAAGGUGCAGCUAAUGAGGGGGCUUGUUGUGAGUUACAUUGCGAUAAGUUUAUACGGAAAAUUUAUGGGAGAAUAGAUUGGAAGGUGGAUUUAAUUGUAAGGGGUGUGGAUUAGCGCAUUUUUGAUAGGAGCUCUUGGAUAUGUACACAUCGCCCGUCGUUCUCACUUU
rnacentral:rRNA from 1 species